AGCCGCCAGGUCACCGUUCCGCCCCGGCACGGAGGGGAGCCGUGUCCCGACCUCAAGCAGCGCCGCGGCUGCCUGGGGGAGCACCCGACCUGCGGGACGGCCGAAGGUAACGCGGGUCCCGCCGGGGAUGCCCACCUCCCUCGUGCGUCACCGUCCCCCGGUGCUGCCGUCCCCGCUGUCUGUCCUGGGGUGUCUUUAACCAUCCGUGUGUGUGUCCCCCCCCCUCGGCUGCUCUUCUCCCAGAGGUGGCCAAGAUACUACCCAACUCCUUCAGCCGGGACUUCAGGGAUGCCUGGCGAAGAGCUGGGCUGCUGCUGCCGGAGGAGCCGUCCGGGUAGGGCCCCCCUGCCGCGGGCAGGCCUGGAGCCGCCAGCUGCACCGGGACAAGCGGGUGUGCGUCGAGUGCCGGGGGCACGUGUCCCACCGCCGUCCCCAUUGCACCGGACAUGGGCUGCAAGGAGCCAGGUAGGGGGUAACUGGGGGGGAGACGACACAUCCCUUCGGAGGCGGAAUGUGUCCCCCCUGCCUUGGAGGAGCAUCUCUCGAUACCCCAAAGGCAUCUUCCUUUCAUAUUCUUCAUUAUAAAUAUAUUUACGUAUAAAACUAGUAUUAUAACAUGCCACAAUAUUAUAAUAUGCCAUAAUAAUAUAAGAGAAAUCAAUAAUAUGUACUAUAAAUCAAUAAUAUAUAAUAUAAAAAUAAAUAUAUUUAAAUAGAAUAGAAUAGAAUAGAACAUUUCAGUUGGAAGGGACCCACAACCAUCAUCUGGUCCACCUGCCAGUAUGUAUUAUUACAUACAUAAGUAACUAUAUAUAAUUUUUAAAACUUGUAUUUAAUUAUCAAUGCACACUCCAGCUCUCACCAGCUUUCCCUUCCAGGACAUUUUGGGUGGCCGCCUCCAUGGUGGGGUGCCAGGGCUCGUGGGUGCAGGAGGGGCUGCAGGAGGGUUGUGUCUGCUCCCCACCGGCUCUCAUCUUCGUGUAGCAUCCCCCUGGGAAGGUGAGCUGAGCCUCCCCAUACCACUGCUCCUUGCUGGGGAGGCAGGGAAUGAAAUAAAAACAUGGUGCCUUUUAUAAUUUCACCCUUCUGCAGGCUUGCUGCUCACCCUUGGAGCUGAUUCCCUGCAUUUUCCAUUAAGUAUUUCAUUGAAGAAUGGGAAGAAAGCACUGCUUAUAAAGAUUAAAAAUAAGGGAAUUGCGAAAGUAUUGUGAUGAAUGGUGAAAGACCAUCACGCUGAGGUUAAAUUCGGGUGAGAAGAUGAUGUGGUGGUGACAUGGGAAGGCAACGUGAUGAUGUCACGCUCAGCCAUGACAUCACGCCGUGCAACGAGCUGCCAUUGGCAAGCAACGUGAGGAUGGAGAUAGCAUCCUUCCUCUGUGUGUUCGCGCCGGCCCAACUGCAGUGAACUGA